rnacentral:rRNA from 1 species
AACGAACGCUGGCGGCAGGCUUAACACAUGCAAGUCGAGCGCCCCGCAAGGGGAGCGGCAGACGGGUGAGUAACGCGUGGGAAUCUACCUUUUGCUACGGAAUAACUCAGGGAAACUUGUGCUAAUACCGUAUGUGCCCUUCGGGGGAAAGAUUUAUCGGCAAAGGAUGAGCCCGCGUUGGAUUAGCUAGUUGGUGGGGUAAAGGCCCACCAAGGCGACGAUCCAUAGCUGGUCUGAGAGGAUGAUCAGCCACACUGGGACUGAGACACGGCCCAGACUCCUACGGGAGGCAGCAGUGGGGAAUAUUGGACAAUGGGCGCAAGCCUGAUCCAGCCAUGCCGCGUGAGUGAUGAAGGCCCUAGGGUUGUAAAGCUCUUUCACCGGUGAAGAUAAUGACGGUAACCGGAGAAGAAGCCCCGGCUAACUUCGUGCCAGCCGCCGCCGUAACAC